GGGCUUGUGGUUUAGUGGUAUAAUUUUCCCUUAGCAUUGCGUCUAACUUAGUUAGUCUUUCAAUUGGGAAAGGUCCUGGGUUCGAUUCCCAGCAAGUCCA